ACUUUCACUUUCCCUUUUCUUUUCUUUUCUUCUCCGGCGUCUCUCUCUCGGCUAUCACCUCUCUCACAUUUUCUCUUCAAUUCCAUCUCCUACGAGUGAGAUUUUUGAAAAAUCCCAAGCACUAAAGUUGUUCUACGCGAUGAGAGCUUCCUAUCCAUCGAAGAAAAUUCACGAUCGGAGCACUUCGAAGUUUCCUCCAUGUUCGGGCUUGCUUCUAACCCUCGAGGUACUCGCCAUGACACUUAGCUUGGAUUGCAUGAAGUGCACAUUGAGACGUCUUUUGAGAGCUUCAUUGGUAUCAUAAAGGAAGUGUUUAUCAUCUAGUCAAAUUCAUGUUGUGUACUUUACUCGCAAUGGAAAGUUGUACCUUUUGAUGAGAAUAUAUGUAAAGCUAUGUGUAAAUUCCUUUCCUUGAUCAUUAUGGAACUCAUUUAAUUGUAAACGUUUGGGAGACUUUAUGUAAAAAAAAAAAAUUAGAGAAAAGAAGAAGAGACUUUGAUUCUUUAUUUGGAUUGGC